AGUGAACGCUGGCGGUAGGCCUAACACAUGCAAGUCGAACGGCAGCACAGUAAGAGCUUGCUCUUACGGGUGGCGAGUGGCGGACGUGUGAGGAAUACAUCCGAAUCUACUUUUUCGUGGGGGAUAACGUAGGGAAACUUACGCUAAUACCGCAUACGACCUACGGGUGAAAGCAGGGGAUCUUCGGACCUUGCGCGAUUGAAUGAGCCGAUGUCGGAUUAGCUAGUUGGCGGGGUAAAGGCCCACCAAGGCGACGAUCCGUAGCUGGUCUGAGAGGAUGGUCGGCCACACUGGAACUGGGACACGGACCAGACUCCUGCGGGAGGCAGCAGUGGGGAAUAUUGGACAAUGGGGGCAAGCCUGAUCCAGCCAGACCGCGUGGGUUAAGAAGGCCUUCGGGUUGUAAAGCCCUUUUGUUGGGAAAGAAAAGCAGCAGGUUAAUACCCCGCUGUUCUGACGGUACCCAAAGAAUAAGCACCGGCUAACUUCGUG
rnacentral:rRNA from 1 species